rnacentral:lncRNA from 1 species
GUUUUGUCUCUUUAAAUGAGAAUUGGAUUUUCAUUUUGUUUAGCUCCACUUAAAUCAAUUUUAUGGAUACAAAAUCCAAAUGAAAAUGUUGCAUUCAAUUUAAUUAGUUAAAAUGUUAAUUAAUUAAAGGAUGAUUAUGAACCUAAGCCUAUAAUAAUUGAGCUAUGUGAAAGGCCGUUUCAAAUUUGUUUGAACCAUGGGAAUGUGUAGAUAAGAUUUUGGUUGUAAUUUGAAUUGUUCAAAUGUUGUAAUGAGCAUAAGCUCACUUUUACUUUGAAGUAUUUCUUUCUUGCUUUAUAUGAUAUGCAUGAAAAUGAAGUAAUUGGGUCCAACGCCCCUAUGACAACACGCCUUAAUGUGAUUAAACGCGUAAUUAAAAUCAAUCUCCAUCCCUAGACCGAGAUUCAACACAAGGCUCGUGUUGAAUCUAAACAAAGGUUCAUAGUC